rnacentral:misc_RNA from 1 species
AAGUCGUAACAAGGUUUCCGUAGGUGAACCUGCGGAAGGAUCAUUAAAAAAAUCAUUAAAUAUAUGAUGUUUGGGUAUGAUGAAUGUUAUAACCAACAUCGUAUAUAAUGGAGAACCGCAAGGUUCUCUAAAUAUUUUGUGAAAUGUGUGAAUAGUGCAGUGGUGUGGUUAAUGGGUGUAUAUAUAUAUGGUUUGGAAGGUUUUUGAGUGUUUUACACAAGGAAACAUUUACAACCAAAUAUAAUACCAUAUUGCUAACUGUGCUAUUUAUUUUAAUACAUGUUAUAUAUUGAUGAGUAUGUAAAUAUAGUAUUAAAGGUGGUUAACAACCCUUUUAAUAUGAUAUAAUAUAUAUACAACUUUCAACAGUGGAUCUCUCGGCUCUU